AAACUUAGGUUAAACAAACCAGGAGCCUUCAAAGCCCCAAAAAAGAGUCACCACCCUCCUAGUUUC
rnacentral:tRNA from 1 species